rnacentral:rRNA from 1 species
UACGAAGGGGGGCUAGCGUUGUUCGGAAUUACUGGGCGUAAAAGCGCACGUAGGCGGAUACUUAAGUCAGGGGUGAAAUCCCGGGGCUCAACCCCGGAACUGCCUUUGAUACUGGGGUAUCUCGAGUCCGGAAGAGGUGAGUGGAAUUCCGAGUGUAGAGGUGAAAUUCGUAGAUAUUCGGAGGAACACCAGUGGCGAAGGCGGCUCACUGGUCCGGUACUGACGCUGAGGUGCGAAAGCGUGGGGAGCAAACAGGG